UACGAAGGGUGCAAGCGUUACUCGGAAUUACUGGGCGUAAAGCGUGCGUAGGCGGUUUGUUAAGUCCGCUGUGAAAGCCCUGGGCUCAACCUGGGAAUUGCAGUGGAUACUGGCAAGCUAGAGUGCGGUAGAGGAUGGUGGAAUUCCCGGUGUAGCGGUGAAAUGCGUAGAGAUCGGAAAGAACACCAACGGCGAAAGCACUCUGCUGGGCCGACACUGACACUGAGAGACGAAAGCUAGGGGAGCGAAUGGG
rnacentral:rRNA from 1 species